UAUAUUUUAAUCCCGCUCAGGAUGAACGCUGGCGUCGUGCUUAACACAUGCAAGUCGAACGAUGAAGCCCAGCUUGCUGGGUGGAUUAGUGGCGAACGGGUGAGUAACACGUGAGUAACCUGCCCUUAACUCUGGGAUAAGCCUGGGAAACUGGGUCUAAUACCGGAUAGGAGCGUCCACCGCAUGGUGGGUGUUGGAAAGAUUUAUCGGUUUUGGAUGGACUCGCGGCCUAUCAGCUUGUUGGUGAGGUAAUGGCUCACCAAGGCGACGACGGGUAGCCGGCCUGAGAGGGUGACCGGCCACACUGGGACUGAGACACGGCCCAGACUCCUACGGGAGGCAGCAGUGGGGAAUAUUGCACAAUGGGCGCAAGCCUGAUGCAGCGACGCCGCGUGAGGGAUGACGGCCUUCGGGUUGUAAACCUCUUUCAGUAGGGAAGAAGCGAAAGUGACGGUACCUGCAGAAGAAGCACCGGCUAACUACGUGCCAGCAGCCGCGGUAAUACGUAGGGUGCGAGCGUUAUCCGGAAUUAUUGGGCGUAAAGAGCUCGUAGGCGGUUUGUCGCGUCUGUCGUGAAAGUCCGGGGCUUAACCCCGGAUCUGCGGUGGGUACGGGCAGACUAGAGUGCAGUAGGGGAGACUGGAAUUCCUGGUGUAGCGGUGGAAUGCGCAGAUAUCAGGAGGAACACCGAUGGCGAAGGCAGGUCUCUGGGCUGUAAUUGGCGCUGACGGAGUGAAAAGCCCGCCCAGGC
rnacentral:rRNA from 1 species